rnacentral:rRNA from 1 species
CACUCCUGCGGGAGGCAGCAGUGGGGAAUUUUGGACAAUGGGCGAAAGCCUGAUCCAGCAAUGCCGCGUGUGUGAAGAAGGCCUUCGGGUUGUAAAGCACUUUUGUCCGGAAAGAAAUCCUUGGCUCUAAUACAGUCGGGGGAUGACGGUACCGGAAGAAUAAGCACCGGCUAACUACGUGCCAGCAGCCGCGGUAAUACGUAGGGUGCGAGCGUUAAUCGGAAUUACUGGGCGUAAAGCGUGCGCAGGCGGUUUGCUAAGACCGAUGUGAAAUCCCCGGGCUCAACCUGGGAACGGCAUUGGUGACUGGCAGGCUAGAGUAUGGCAGAGGGGGGUAGAAUUCCACGUGUAGCAGUGAAAUGCGUAGAGAUGUUGAGGAAUACCGAUGGCGAAGGCAGCCCCCUGGGCCAAUACUGACGCUCAUGCACGAAAGCGUGGGGAGCAAACAGGAUUAGAAACCCGAGUAGUCC